CGGGCCCGGCAGGCGCGGGCCCGGCACUCACGUCCUCUUGAAGAUGCCCCCGAGGGCGCUGCCCAGCAGGAGGCAGAGCUGCUGCGAGAAGAAGACCCAGGAGAUCUGGGACAGCGAGCUGUGAGUCUGGCAGCGCAGGUCCAGCAGCGUGGGCCCCAGGAAGGCGAUGCACAGGCCGAAGCUGAAGAAGACGCUCCAGUAGGAGACCAACCAGGAGCCGCUCUGUACCCCCACCUCUUCUCCUCUCCAGCCAACCGUCUCACUAGCCUCCUUAUAGAACUCCCCAGGGUCAGAGGGCCCUGAGAGCCCAUUUUAGAGCUGGGCAAACUGAGGAGCCGAGACGCCCCAUAUGUACACGGAAAGGUUAGAGGGCGGGAUCUUCCAGCGCUUCGCGCAGGCUCUGGAGAGCUGCAAGUCAACGGUCCCCAGAUACCAACCUGACCUGGGGUUCAGCGGUGGAGGAAACCCCGAGCCCUCACCCCUUAAACCUAGGGGCUUCGCAGAUGGACUUGGAACGUCAGACAGCGCCCCACCUCUGCCUCAGGAAUAAAAUCUUGGCCCCAAGGCAACGGACCCCGUGGUUUGCUCAUCACAGGGUGCCCAGAUUUCCUGACCCCUUGAUGGGAGCUGUUUGCCCUACACUGUACAGCACUUGUAGCUGGAAAGCUGAUAAGAAAGAAAUCAACUGCACAGCAUAGACCACAGGAGCCUCACUUAUUUUUGGUUUGGAUUCCUCCUCUCUGCCAACGUGCUUUGGAUCCCAACUCAGCCUCCCAGCACUACCUCCAGUAGUUCCUGUGUUUAAGGAUGGCAUCUAAUAUUCAUGAGGUAUGAUUACUAUGAGUCAUCCUAAUCAUUGAGAAAAAUAUUAGGCAUAACACACCACUUCUCCCAUUUCUCCUUUGCCUGAUUAACUUUCCCUGCAGGUCCAGGUUAGCUCGUACUUCUGCUGGAAGCUUCCCUCCUGCCCAGAGCUGCCUCAGGUGCCUGUUUUGAGUUCCCUCAGUCUCUUCACCAACCACUGGCCCAUGUGAUCCACCUGCUGAGCUGUCCAUAACCCCUACUGACUUCAGCUCUUUGAGGAUAGAGAUUGGGUCACACAUUAAUCUCUCUGUCCCAGGGGCAUGGCACAGCACCUGCCUGGCACAUGGCAUGCAUUCAGAAAAUAUUAGCUGCACAAAUAUAUGUUGAAUAUAACUUUUAAUUUAUGGAAAACUCUGAGGCAAGAAAUAAUCAUGGAGGAUUUCAUAAAGGAUAUACAGUUCAUCUAUUUACUCAGUGGUUCUCACACUGCAGUAUGUUAGAAUCACCUGGAAGUUUAACAAAUUCAGAAUCUCUAGUGGUGGAGUCCUGCAUUGGUAUUUCGCAAAAGCUCCCUGGGGCUUUCUAAUGGGCAGCCAAGGCUGGAAACCACUGCUCCUGAGAAUGUACAUUUACCGACCGGGAACUGCCUGCAUAUCCUGUACCAUUUAAAGCCCCUCACUAAAGUGCCUUUGUUGGAUGAUACUUUGACUUUAUGCCUAGUUGAGUGAUAUAACUAUGUGAGUCCUGUGAUGGAGUUACUGUGGGGAUGUUGGUUCCAAUCGGCCUUUUUAAUGAAGGCACAUGGGAGAAAUUUCUUUUGGGCAUCAGCACCAGGGAAAGCUGUGAUUUUCCUAAGCAACUAGUUCAUGUUUAUCUUACAGAUGCUGGGAAUUGUUUAAUUAACACUUUCCAAGUUUGUAGUAGCUGCUGGAAAGCUCACAGCCAAAGUUG